rnacentral:lncRNA from 1 species
UCAGUCAUACUCCGAUUUCACCAUGAUAUUUUUGGUCAUUUUACUAUAACAUUCCAGCAAGGUUUUUAAAAUUGUUUGUACUCAUAUUUUUAAGACACCACCUUGCUGAGUAGCACGAUGGCUUCCUCUACAGCUAGCACCAAAGCAGACCCAUUUUCCUUGGAAAACAUUAAUGAUAACUCUACAGCUAACACUAUAGCAGACACCACUUUUUUGAGUAGCACCAUGUCUGCCUCUACCGCUAGCACCAAAGCAGGUGAGAACUGUGUGCUUAUAAUCUGUUUAUUAUAAUGUUGCCAUCCUGGUUUCACACACAUUUGUCAAACAAAUAUGAAAUUAUAUACACACAGUUAU